AUAACGCUACGGCGUGCUUCACACAUGUCAAGUCGAACGGAAAAGAGUAACAUCUUUUCAGUGGCGGACGGGUGAGUAUUGAGAAUUUGCCCUUAUGGCAGAGGAUAACAAUUAGAAAUAAUUGCUAAAACUCUAUAUGUUGGAAACAAUGAAAAAAGAAAUUUGCCUAAGGAGAAGCUCACAUUUGAUUAGCUAGUUGGUAGGGUAAGAGCCUACCAAGGCGACGAUCAAUAGUUGGUCUGAGAGGACGAUCAGCCACACUGGAACUGAGACACGGUCCAGACUCCUACGGGAGGCAGCAGUGAGGAAUAUUCCGCAAUGGGCGAAAGCCUGACGGAGCAACGCCGCGUGAGGGAUGAAGGCCUACGGGUUGUAAACCUCUUUUUCCAAGGCAGGAAGAUCUGACGUUACUUGGAGAAUAAGCAUCGGCUAACCCAUGUGCCAGCAGCCGCGGUAAUACAGGGGAUGCAAGUGUUAUCCGAGAUCAUUGGGCGUAAAGCGUCUACAG
rnacentral:rRNA from 1 species